ACUGUCCUAUCUCCAUCAAAGAAACCCAGAGGUGAAGAUCAAGGUCCUUCAUGCAAAUUAAGUAGCUUGAGUCACCUAAAGCUCACUGUGAUGAUUUCUGACUGGUAAAGCAGGAAAUCAAUGGUAACCUCCCUCUUGGAGAGUCCCUAGGUGUUUCACUUAUUCUUCCUCUGGUUUUUCCUGUUUUUUGUUGAUUUACACAGAAUUU
rnacentral:lncRNA from 1 species